rnacentral:rRNA from 1 species
AUGGGGUUCCGAGAUUUACAUUGUUUCAAUUUGGCGUUACUAGCCAAGCAAGCAUGGCGUUUGCUUGAUAAUCCGGAAUCGUUAUGUGCCACAAUCAUGAGAGCUAAAUAUUUCCCGGAUGGCGAUUUAAUGAAUGCAAGUCUAAAGAAGGGUUCCUCUUUCACCUGGCAAAGCAUUAUGGCAGGGGUUAAUUCUCUAAGGAACGGCUAUAUCUGGCGAGUUGGAAACGGACAAAAAAUUGAUAUUUAG